GGAUGAAGAACGCAGCGAAAUGCGAUAAGUAGUAUGAAUUGCAGAAUUCAGUGAAUCAUCGAAUCUUUGAACGCACAUUGCGCCUGCUGUACUCCAGCAGGCAUGCCCGUCCGAGCGUCUGCUGACCCUUAGACUUCAAGUCUAGCGUUGGGGUUUGUGAUUUUGUUUCACCACCCUGAAAAGCAGCAGCAUCCUUUUUAGUGUCCUGCGUAGUAAGAUUCGUACCGGCACUAUAGACUCAAGACCUCGGAUCGGGUAGGGAUACCCGCUGAACUUAAGCAUAUCAAUAAGCGGAGGA
rnacentral:misc_RNA from 1 species